UACGUAGGGUGCAAGCGUUUGUGCCGGGAAUUAUUGGGCGUAAAGCGCACGUAGGCGGUUCGUUAAGUCGGAUGUGAAAGCCCUCGGCUCAACUGGAGGAAGUGCACCCGAAACUGGCGAGCUUGAGUACGAAAGAGGAUCGCGGAAUUCCCGGUGUAGAGGUGAAAUUCGUAGAUAUCGGGAGGAACACCGGUGGCGAAGGCGGCGAUCUGGGUCGAUACUGACGCUGAGGUGCGAAAGCGUGGGGAGCAAACAGG
rnacentral:rRNA from 1 species